rnacentral:rRNA from 1 species
CCUACGGGGGGCAGCAGUAGGGAAUCUUUCACAAUGGGCGAAAGCCUGAUGGAGCAACGCCGCGUGCAGGAUGAAGGCCUUCGGGUUGUAAACUGCUUUUAUAAGCGAGAAAUAUGAUGGUAACUUAUGAAUAAGGAUCGGCUAACUACGGGCCAGCCGCCGCGGUCAUACGUAGGAGCCGAGCCUUAUACGGAGUGACUGGGUGUAAAGAGUUGCGUAGGUGGCAUAAUAAGUAGCUAGUGAAAUCUGGUGGCUCAACCAUUCAGACUAUUAGCUAAACUGGUAAGCUCGAGACCGUUAGGGGUAACUGGAAUUUCUAGUGUAGGAGUGAAAUCCGUAGAUAUUAGAAGGAACACCAAUAGCGUAGGCAGGUUGCUGGGACGGUUCUGACACUAAGGCACGAAAGCGUAGGGAGCAAACGGGAUUAGAUACCCUAGUAGUC